UACGUAGGGUGCAAGCGUUGUUCGGAAUCAUUGGGCGUAAAGCGCGUGUAGGUGGUCAUCUAAGUCGGGUGUGAAAUCCCUGGGCUCAACCUAGGAAGUGCAUCCGAAACUAGUUGACUAGAAGGGAGUAGAGGAAGGUGGAAUUCCAAGUGUAGAGGUGAAAUUCGUAGAUAUUUGGAGGAAUACCGGCGGCGAAGGCGGCCUUCUGGGCUUCUCUUGACACUGAGACGCGAAAGCGUGGGUAGCAAACAGG
rnacentral:rRNA from 1 species